rnacentral:rRNA from 1 species
AUUGAACGCUGGCGGCAUGCCUUACACAUGCAAGUCGAACGGCAGCACGGGAGCAAUCCUGGUGGCGAGUGGCGAACGGGUGAGUAAAGUAUCGGAACGUGCCCAGUCGUGGGGGAUAACGUAGCGAACGUUACGCUAAUACCGCAUACGAUCUAUGGAUGAAAGCGGGGGAUCGCAAGACCCCGCGCGAUUGGAGCGGCCGAUAUCAGAUGAGGUAGUUGGUGGGGUAAAGGCUAACCAAGCCGACGACCUGUAGCUGGUCUGGGAGGACGACCAGCCACACUGGGAAUGAGACACGGCCCAGGCUCCUACGGGAGGCAGCAGUGGGGAAUAUUGGACAAUGGGCGAAAGCCUGAUCCAGCCAUGCCGCGUGCAGGAUGAAGGCCUUCGGGUUGUAAACUGCUUUUGUACGGAUCGAAAAGGUUUGGGCUAAUAAGCUGAGCUCAUGACGGUACCGUAAGAAUAAGCACCGGCUAACUACGUGCCAGCCGCCGCGGUAA